AGAGUUUGAUCCUGGCUCAGGAUGAACGCUGGCGGCGUGCCUAACACAUGCAAGUCGAGCGAUUCUCUUCGGAAAAGAGCGGCGGACGGGUGAGUAACGCGUGGGUAACCUGCCCCGUACACAUGGAUAACAUACCGAAAGGUAUGCUAAUACGAGAUGAUAUGCUUUAAUCGCAUGGAUUUCUUAUCAAAGCUCCGGCGGUACGAGAUGGACCCGCGUCUGAUUAGCUAGUUGGUAAGGUAACGGCUUACCAAGGCGACGAUCAGUAGCCGACCUGAGAGGGUGAUCGGCCACAUUGGAACUGAGACACGGUCCAAACUCCUACGGGAGGCAGCAGUGGGGAAUAUUGCACAAUGGGCGAAAGCCUGAUGCAGCAACGCCGCGUGAGCGAUGAACGCCUUCGGGUCGUAAAACUCUGUCCUCAAGGAAGAUAAUGACGGUACUUGAGGAGGAAGCCCCGGCUAACUACGUGCCAGCAGCCGCGGUAAUACGUAGGGGGCUAACGUUAUCCGGAUUUACUGGGCGUACAGGGUGCGUAGGUGGUUUCUUAAGUCAAGAGUGAAACCGCCACCGCUCAACCGUAGUACGCUCUUGAAACUGGGAAACUUGAGUGCAGGAGAGGAAAGUGAAAUUCCUAGUGAACCGUGAAAUGCGUAAAUAUAAGAAGAACCACAGUUGCGAAGGCGGUUUCUGGGCUGUACCGAAACUGAAGCCCAAAGCGUGGGGAACAACAGGAUAAAAUCCCUGGGAAUCCCCCCCCAAAACAAGAAUACCCAGCGGUCGGAGGUUACCCCCCUCGGGGGGCCCACCUAACCCCUAUAAUAACUCCCCCCGGGGA
rnacentral:rRNA from 1 species